AGAGUUUGAUCAUGGCUCAGAACGAACGCUGGCGGCGUGGAUAAGACAUGCAAGUCGAGCGCUGAUUGCAAGGUAGCAAUAUUUUGCAGUUGGAGCGGCGCAAGGGUGCGUAACACGUGGGUAAUCUGCCAUGAAGUUUGGGAUAACUUGCUGAAAGGCGAGCUAAUACCGGAUGUGAAAGUUGGGAGGCCUCUCUCGAUUUUUAAAGCUGGGGACCGUAAGGCCUGGCGCUUCAUGAUGAGCCCGCGGCCUAUCAGCUAGUUGGUAAGGUAACGGCUUACCAAGGCUAAGACGGGUAGCUGGUCUGAGAGGACGACCAGCCACACUGGAACUGAGACACGGUCCAGACACCUACGGGUGGCAGCAGUCGAGAAUUUUUCACAAUGGGGGAAACCCUGAUGGAGCGACGCCGCGUGGGGGAUGAAUGGCUUCGGCCCGUAAACCCCUGUCAUUUGCGAUCAACCCUUAUUAUUUAAAAGAUGAUAAGCUGAUAGUAGCGAAAGAGGAAGGGACGGCUAACUCUGUGCCAGCAGCCGCGGUAAUACAGAGGUCCCAAGCGUUGUUCGGAUUCACUGGGCGUAAAGGGUGCGUAGGUGGCGAGGUAAGUCGGAUGUGAAAGCUCGGAGCUCAACUCCGAAAUGGCAUUGGAAACUACCUUGCUCGAGGGUUGGAGGGGGGACUGGAAUACUUGGUGUAGCAGUGAAAUGCGUAGAUAUCAAGUGGAACACCAGUGGCGAAGGCGAGUCCCUGGACAACUCCUGACACUGAGGCACGAAAGCUAGGGGAGCAAACAGGAUUAGAUACCCUGGUAGUCCUAGCCGUAAACGGUGCACGUUUGCUGUAAAAGGAAUCGACCCCUUUUGUGGCGUAGCCAACGCGUUAAACGUGCCGCCUGGGAAGUACGGUCGCAAGAUUAAAACUCAAAGAAAUUGACGGGGGCCUGCA
rnacentral:rRNA from 1 species